rnacentral:rRNA from 1 species
UACGUAGGGUGCAAGCGUUAAUCGGAAUUACUGGGCGUAAAGCGUGCGCAGGCGGUUCGGAAAGAGAGGUGUGAAAUCCCAGGGCUUAACCUUGGAACUGCACUUUUAACUACCGGGCUAGAGUACGUCAGAGGGGGGUAGAAUUCCACGUGUAGCAGUGAAAUGCGUAGAGAUGUGGAGGAACACCGAUGGCGAAGGCAGCCCCCUGGGUCAAGACUGACGCUCAUGCACGAAAGCGUGGGGAGCAAACAGG